rnacentral:rRNA from 1 species
AACGAACGCUGGCCGCAUGCCUAACACAUGCAAGUCGAACGAGACCUUCGGGUCUAGUUGCUCACGGGUGCGUAACGCGUGGGAACCUUCCCUUAGGUUCGGAAUAACUCCCCGAAAGGGGUGCUAAUACCGGAUAAUGUCUUCUUACCAAAGAUUUAUCGCCUUUGGAUGGGCCCGCGUUGGAUUAGCUAGUUGGUAGGGUAAACGCCUACCAAGGCGACGAUCCAUAGCUGGUCUGAGAGGAUGAUCAGCCACACUGGGACUGAGACACGGCCCAGACUCCUACGGGAGGCAGCAGUGGGGAAUAUUGGACAAUGGGCGAAAGCCUGAUCCAGCAAUGCCGCGUGAGUGAUGAAGGCAUUAGGGUUGUAAAGCUCUUUUACCCGGGAUGAUAAUGACAGUACCGGGAGAAUAAGCUCCGGCUAACUCCGUG